rnacentral:rRNA from 1 species
UACAGAGGUCUCAAGCGUUGUUCGGAUUCAUUGGGCGUAAAGGGUGCGUAGGCGGCGCGGUAAGUCGGGUGUGAAAUCUCGGAGCUUAACUCCGAAACUGCAUUCGAUACUGCCGUGCUUGAGGACUGGAGAGGAGACUGGAAUUUACGGUGUAGCGGUGAAAUGCGUAGAUAUCGUAAGGAAGACCAGUGGCGGAAGGCGGG